rnacentral:rRNA from 1 species
AUUGAACGCUGGCGGCAGGCCUAACACAUGCAAGUCGAGCGGAGCGGCGGACGGGUGAGUAAUGCCUAGGAAGCUGCCUGGUAGUGGGGGAUAACGUCCGGCAACGGGCGCUAAUACCGCAUACUAUCAGAUGAGCCUAGGGCGGAUGGGCUAGUUGGUGGGGUAAAGGCAUACCACGGCGACGAUCCGUAGCUGGUCUGAGAGGAUGAUCAGUCAAACUGGAACGUAGACACGGUCAAGAGGCCUACGGGAGGCCGCAGGGGGGAAUAUUGGACAAUGGGCGAAAGCGUGAUCGAGCCAUGCCGCGUGGGUGAAGAAGGUCUUCGGAUUGUAAAGCACUUUAAGUUGGGAGGCGUUACCAACAGAAUAAGCACCGGCUAACUUCGUGCCAGCAGCCGCGGUAAUAC